UUUAUACUCCCUCCGUUCGGAAUUACUUGUCUCGGAAAUAGAUGUAUCUAGAACUAAAAUACGUCUAGAUACAUCCAUUUUCACGACAAGUAAUUCCGAACGGAGGGAGUACUAC
rnacentral:pre_miRNA from 1 species